rnacentral:rRNA from 1 species
UAACGACUCUCGGCAACGGAUAUCUCGGCUCUUGCAUCGAUGAAGAACGUAGCGAAAUGCGAUACUUGGUGUGAAUUGCAGAAUCCCGUGAACCAUCGAGUCUUUGAACGCAAGUUGCGCCCGAGGCCAUUUAGGUUGAGGGCACGUCUGCCUGGGCGUCACACACA